rnacentral:lncRNA from 1 species
AUGCAAAAAGACAAGACGCAGGUGGAGUCCAGCUCCAGGCGCGGCUUAGACCCGGCGGAGGAGGAACCAGGAGCAGUUACGGGACGUGUGCACGGGGCCGUGGCCGCUGUCCUCCCUGCCUCGGGCCAGCUGGCGUCUGGGGAAGGGGGGAGUAAAGGGAUGGGAAUCUGGAAAAUUCUAAUUUUGCUUUAAGACAGUGAUACUUUCAUCAUGGACACUUGAAUUGUUCUCGAUGGUGUCGUGUUGACGCGCGUCUCUGUGUACACAGCGCUUUCUGUGACUAGGUUUGUCAGGAGCAGUGGUGCUCUGGAAGGGUUCUGAUAAAUACAGAAAAACACUUUUCAAAGUGCUGCUGGCUUCCCCACCAGCAUCAGUUGUUAACACUUUGAUUAUCUUGUUAAAUUNNNNNNNNAGAAAUAGUGUCCCAUUAUUUUGAUUUGAAUUUCUUUGAAUAUUAGGCUACCCAUUAUUUCAUAUGCUGUCACACAUUCAGGUUUUUUCUUCUCAUUUGUAAAUUGCUUGUUUUUGUCCUUCAUACCUUUGUCUUUUUGCUUACUGAUUGUUCCAACUUUUAAUUUAAAAUUGACUGUGAUAACAUGUGUGCUGGCUCCCCUGGAACACGGCUCCAACUUACUAUAGAUUAGAAAGUGUUUCUUCAGUGAUUACAGUUAAAUAUAGAGAUAAGUACAUACACCUGCACUCUAAAUAGACUUUCAAAGAUUUAGGAAUAAUCAGAAGAUAAGUGGUAUCUAAGGUGUUUGUUGCGUACUUCCCUGGUGGCUCGGACGGUAAAGCAUCUGUCUACAAUGUGGGAGACCUGGGUUUGAUCCCUGGNNNNNNNNNNNNNNNNNNNNNNNNNNNNNNNNNNNNNNNNNNNNNNNNNUGCCUGGAAAAUCCCAUGGACAGAGGAGCCUGGUAGGCUACAACCCAUGGUGUCGCAAAGAGUUGGACAUGACUGAGUGACUUCACUUUCUAAGGUGUUCGUAAAUGUUUUAAGGACUUUGUUAUACUAAAGUAUCUGAUUCUGAUUUGAAAUGUGAACUGACUUUUGACUUGUGACUUUUUAGCUGAGAAAAAUAAGAAAAUUUCACUAAGUUUUUGAGCAGCAUUUUCAUUUUUAAGAGGACUUGAGAGUCAUCAUCAUAACAAACCGUGGAAAAUUCUUCAAGAGAUGGGAAUACCAAACCACCUUACCUGCCUUCU